UGGGGAAUAUUGGGCAAUGGGGGAAACCCUGAUGCAGCGACCCCGCGUGGAGGAAGAAGGUCUUCGGAUUGUAAACUCCUGUUGUUGAGGAAGAUAAUGACGGUACUCAACAAGGAAGUGACGGCUAACUACGUGCCAGCAGCCGCGGUAAAACGUAGGUCACAAGCGUUGUCCGGAAUUACUGGGUGUAAAGGGAGCGCAGGCGGGAAGACAAGUUGGAAGUGAAAUCUAUGGGCUCAACCCAUAAACUGCUUUCAAAACUGUUUUUCUUGAGUAGUGCAGAGGUAGGCGGAAUUCCCGGUGUAGCGGUGGAAUGCGUAGAUAUCGGGAGGAACACCAGUGGCGAAGGCGGCCUACUGGGCACCAACUGACGCUGAGGCUCGAAAGUGUGGGUAGCAAACAGGAUUAGAUACCCUGGUAGUCCACACCGUAAACGAUGAUUACUAGGUGUUGGAGGAUUGACCCCUUCAGUGCCGCAGUUAACACAAUAAGUAAUCCACCUGGGGAGUACGACCGCAAGGUUGAAACUCAAAGGAAUUGACGGGGGCCCGCACAAGCAGUGGAGUAUGUGGUUUAAUUCGACGCAACGCGAAGAACCUUACCAAGUCUUGACAUCCGUUGACCGACAUAGAAAUAUGUUUUUCCUUCGGGACAGCGAGACAGGUGGUGCAUGGUUGUCGUCAGCUCGUGUCGUGAGAUGUUGGGUUAAGUCCCGCAACGAGCGCAACCCUUAUGGUCAGUUACUACGCAAGAGGACUCUGGCCAGACUGCCGUUGACAAAACGGAGGAAGGUGGGGAUGACGUCAAAUCAUCAUGCCCUUUAUGACUUGGGCUACACACGUACUACAAUGGCGUUAAACAAAGAGAAGCAAGACCGCGAGGUGGAGCAAAACUCAGAAACAACGUCCCAGUUCGGACUGCAGGCUGCAACUCGCCUGCACGAAGUCGGAAUUGCUAGUAAUCGUGGAUCAGCAUGCCACGGUGAAUACGUUCCC
rnacentral:rRNA from 1 species